rnacentral:lncRNA from 1 species
AUUUCAAACAGAAUUCUGAUGUGACAUGAGCACAGUUGCUGCUAUUGAUGUGAAAAUCUGCUUUGUUUUCCACAGAUUGGUGAUGCUUUUGUGGAGCUGGGCUCGUUGGCCUGGAUUCUGCAGCUCUGGCUGCAGGGGAUGGGUUUUGCUUGGACAUCCCAAACCUUGCUCUCCCUUUCACUAAACACAGGGAGAGCCUUAAUGGGUCUGGCUGAGCUGUGUGCAAGCAGGCACAAACAAUUUCAUCGUGUCCAGGCUGUUCAACUACUAAUUGUGAUAUUCCAGAUUUUCAGAGUUUCAUGCUGGUGCAGUAGGAUUUCCUGCGCAGUGGAGCAGAAUUGGGUCUGUGAGCUGAGCCAUGGACCUCUUCCAUCAGUAGAAGUGAAGAAAAAGCCUUUGACAGUGACUACAAGUCUUUGGAGUGACAGAAAACAUUGCUUGGACCCCUUGAAGAUCUGUGAUGAUAAAGAUUAUUCUUUUUACCUGUGUUAUUUAACAGGCUGA